rnacentral:siRNA from 1 species
AUAAUUCGACCAACAAAACCAAG